AACACAACCGCUCAGUUCCAUGCGAACAGGCGCGUCGAUAGGAUCCCAAUCGCGCAAUCAGCACUCCAUCAGGCUCCAAUCCGCCGCCGCGUUCAGUAAGUCUCGGAAGGGAUGAGAGGUGCUAUCUAAUCGAGUGAGGCAGUGGGUUGUGGUAUCUUAUCAGUUCAAUUGCUUUUAUCAAGCCAUUGCAUUGGCUGGAUGAAACACAACUGAUUACGCGCGAAUCGAACCGGGUUUUCGAAGCAUUUUGGAAGUUGUUUUAAUCAUCAAACAAGGUGGUGGUGUUAAUUUUCCUAUUUCGUCGUACCUGUGAACGUAUCGGACAACGAGAGGUGUUGAAUUUCACGAAUUCGGCAGAGGAAGCGGAUUGUAAUUCCAAUCGAAGCAACCGGCUGGUUUGGUUGGUUGGUUUUAGUGGUGGAUGGUGAUAGCAGCUACAGGUUGUCCUGGCAACUCCCAAGAAGUGCGCUGUAUUUAUUGGGCAACGGUGCAAGAAUGUAGCUCAUUUGUAGACUGCCUGGCAUAAGUGAGAAGUAAAUCGUUGGGUGUCACACGCCAAACACGCAAGUAGUGUGCCGUUAUGAGUAAUAAUAAUUAUUAUUAGGGUCAACACGCUGGAUGUUAGUACAAACAGCUGUCGCGAAAAGAUCAGUGCUGUCCGGUUUGCUGCCAGGAGCGGAUACUAGUGCGUCUCAAGGGAUCACUAUCGCAGUGGUGUUGGAUUUUGAUUGCAAAAAAAGUGUUCGACAGAUAAUGAUGUACAAGGCUGACUAAUCCAGAAAGGUGCUAAUAAACGAGUGCUACGACGAAAUAGAAUAUUGAAUUCAAGUUCUUAAAUCACCGUAUCGAUAAAUAAGCUGCUACUGGAAAUAUUUGCUCAGCCAUUUACUGUCUAGUGUGCGUGCAUCGGGAUCGAUUGGUGGAAGACAAAACCAAAAAAAAAAGCUUAUCCGUCAAUCUUCGUAGAAGCAAGCAGCAUCCAGCGAACAGCAGCGAAAAAAAAAUGAAGGUCGUCUUCGUCAACGUACGGUUGGUGACACUGUCGGUUCUAGUUGCCGUAGUGGCCAGAUUUGAUUUGGCCAAUUGCAUACCGGUGGGUGACUCCGAGCUGGGAACCGAAACGUGGCCAUCAUCGGUAUCAUCGGGAAGUCAAACGUCAGCUGCUCCACCGCCACUCGUUUUCCCUAGCGGGAACACCGGAGUGUACAAAAUCGUGGAAAAUGAUACCGCUCUGAAGAUCUUGCAGGCACGGGCCGCAGCCGAACUGUCCGAAACCAGUAGCACCGGUGAAACGACUGAGGGUCAGAACGUGCAGCAACAGUCGCUCUCGACUGCUGAGUCAAAUGUGAUCAACAACGGUAACAACCCUGCGGCCGGUAAUUUGUCAUCGGUUGCACCGCCAGCCUCUCCAAACGAAGACGACGGGGAUGACGACGAUGAAGACGACGGCGACGAUGAUGACGAUGAUGAUGACGAUGGCGAUGAUGAUGAUUACAGUAGCGAAGAGGAUGCCGAUCAGAACGACCAGAAUGGAAGUAUCAAUACAGAGGUGAUCAAUGUUCAACCGGAGGAUCCGAAUAAGGAGGACGGACUGGAGGAACAGUUUGGAAACAAGGACAACCACUACCCAAUGGUAAUCGAUGACGAAGUGAUCGAAGUGUCCAUCCGCCAGGAACAUCUGUGGGUCAUCGUAGCCGGGGCCAUCUUCGUGCUGACUCUUACGGCUUACAUGGCGAUGAUUCUGUACAGAAAUCGGUUGGAGCGACGCUAUGGAAUGCGACAACGCUUGGUGACGGAAGAUGAUUUCUACACCAACAACGAUGUAAGAAUUUUUGACGCAUUUUUUACAUACUAGGAUACUAAAACUAAGACAACACCGUGUGCCUCCAUGUGUUUUGAGUCUAAGGAGAUGGUCUAGCGCCGUGUGUUGAUAACAUUUUUCGCUGCUUCCAGAGUAAAACCUAUCUAAAACCCAACCAUCGCUCAGUGGAAAGUGAAGCAACGAGUAGUGAAAUCCCAAAAAUAUUCCUCGAUCGAUCGGUCAUAAGUAGGGUAGAAGCUAGAGAAAAAACGAACGACACACGACGAAAGUAGUAUAUAAAGUAGUUCGUGGGUGAAAUCAGACCAACCUCGUAGAAAGCCACUGCAGGUGAAUUCCAGCAAAUAAGUGCCAUUAGUUUUAAGCAUGCUUCGCCACACAUUCAAAACAAUUAGAACCUUCCCUCCCCCGUAGUUUUCUCCGUAUCUACAGAUAGUGAAUAUUAUUCCAGGACUCGUGUUUAUUGUUUUUUUAGUUCAACAAUCAAAUCGCUCAUUCUGUUGCCAAGUGAGAAACACAACAAUCCGAUUUUGUAACGCCAUUAAUUAGUCAUUUGUGAUAGAAUCUGUACAAGCAAAGCGUUUACAUUAUUUGAAACAAUAUCACUAACAGUAAAUAGUGCUGUACUCCGAAAUGGAUGUGAAAUGAAAAUAGUGAAAUUUAUUUUGUUGUUGCAGAAAUAACAAUGACUGUGAUAUUAAGUGAUUAUCUGA